GACGAACGCUGGCGGCGUGCUUAACACAUGCAAGUCGAACGGAAAGGCCCUGCUUUUGUGGGGUGCUCGAGUGGCGAACGGGUGAGUAACACGUGAGUAACCUGCCCUUGACUUUGGGAUAACUUCAGGAAACUGGGGCUAAUACCGGAUAGGACCUCCUGCUGCAUGGUGGUGGUUGGAAAGUUUCGGCGUUUGUGGAUGGACUCGCGGCUUAUCAGCUUGUUGGUGGGGUAGUGGCUUACCAAGGCUUUGACGGGUAGCCGGCCUGAGAGGGUGACCGGCCACAUUGGGACUGAGAUACGGCCCAGACUCCUACGGGAGGCAGCAGUGGGGAAUAUUGCACAAUGGGCGGAAGCCUGAUGCAGCAACGCCGCGUGCGGGAUGACGGCCUUCGGGUUGUAAACCGCUUUCGCCUGUGACGAAGCGUGAGUGACGGUAAUGGGUAAAGAAGCACCGGCUAACUACGUG
rnacentral:rRNA from 1 species